rnacentral:lncRNA from 13 species
CCUGGGCACAGGUGCGUGGGGCGCUCACUUCAUGGCUUUCCCAGAUGGGCCCGACCCCUAGAGCCAGGGCUGUCCCCCGGUCCGGACGGGGAACGUCGGGAAGAAGCAGGGCGGCGGGCUCCCGGCCCUGGGAAUGCAGGGCUCCGGGGGAGGACCGAAGAGCGUAGACGCGGCUGGGGACGACCCCCAGGGCACAGCGCUCCCGGGACGGGCACGCGGGGCUCUCGGAGCGCCUCCCUGCCCGCGGGCAGUACUUCCCCGCGAGUUGGUCUCCUUUUCUCUUUGCAGGUUCUUAGGCCGCGAGGGGUCCCCACCAUGAGCAAACCACCUCAGAUCUGUUCAUCACCCACCGGGCCGUCGCGUCGAGGAAGGGUGGGACAUGCAGUCAGGUGCUCCUCUGGCCCGGCACUGGGGGCCUCACACCUGCCGCAGCUGCCUUUACCCUGGGCCCUGGCGCGGUGUCCACCAGCUGAGGCCAAACUCCGGUCACUCCCACCCGCAGAGGGAGGAGGGCAGCCUCGGGGGUCCGGGCACCUGGCUACAGCCUCGGACCGCUGAACCAGAAGGCCCGACCUCCAGCCCAGCUGAGGAAGCCACGCAGCCGCUGGGCCCCUGCAGACCCAGGGCCCGGGCACAGCCGAGGACUUCCCCGAGCCCCAACUCCGGCUGCUCAAGUUUGCAUCUAGGAGAGAAACCAACACAGAAAACCUAAUUUUAAAAGAGGGAAUAGAAGAAACUCAGGCGGAAGAUUACACUGGAGUGACUGACACCACGUCCAGGAGGAGGAGACGUCUCCCAGCUUUCAGUGAAAAUCGAAGACGCCCCAGUAUUAUGGGUGCAGUUAGUCUAUCUUUGAAAAGCUGAUGCUGUCUCAGUCAUCACAACGGAAAACAUUAAGAAUGUUCUAAGAGGCCGGGCCCGGUGGCUCUGCCUGUAAUCCCAGCACUUUGGGAGGCCGAGGUGGGCGGAUCACGAGGUCAAGAGAUGGAGACCAUACUGGCCAACAUGGUGAAACCCUGUCUGUACUAAAAAUACAAAAAUUAGCUGGAUGUGGUGGCGCUCACCUAUAGUCCCAGCUAGCUACCUGGGAAGCUGAGGCAGGAGAAUGGUUUGAACCCAAGAAUUGCAGUGAGUCAAGAUUGCACCGCUGCACUCCAGCCUGGCGCCUGGCGAAGGAGCAAGACUGUCUCAAAAAAAAAAAAAAAAAAAAGAAUGUUCUAAGAAAAACAGAUAAACAGAUUCUAUCAUUGGCUUAAAACCCCACAACACUUGAGUGGGGUGAGCUUCCUCUUUCAGACCCAGAUAUUUCUAAACAGAGUGGAUUCUGGGCUGUGUGCAGUGGCUCACACCUGUAAUCCCAGCACUUUGGGAGGCCAAGGCAGGUGGAUUACCUGAGGUCAGGAGUUCAAGACCAGCCUGGCCAACAUGGUGAAACCCUGUGUUUACUAAAAAUACAAAAAAAAUUAGCUGGGCGUGGUAACAGGCACCUGUAAUUCCAGCUGCUUGGGAGGCUGAGGCAGAAGAAUCGCUUGAACCUGGGAGGCGGAGGUUGCAGUGAGCCGAGAUGGCACCAUUGCACUCCAGCCUGGGCAACAAGAGUGGAACUCCAUCUAAAACAAAUUAACAAAAAGAGACAGAGUGGAUUCUGUACCAGCCGUGAAAAAUAAAGUAUUGUUCCUUUCUCCA